GAUACCACAUCUGUGAGAUAAGACAGACAGAAAGGAAUUUCAAGGGAAACAACAUGGUUGUCGGUCUAUAACUUAGUCACUUAAAGAUGUGUGUGUCAAAUUCAGUGCUUAUUACUUCUGGAUGGAGGGAAACUCUGACCAAAGUCAACACACUGUUUCCCCUUCAGUGUUGUCUACAGAAGAGAAUGGAGAGAAUUUAAAUGAGCUUCCACUUUGUUGCAGAAUAAGCUACAAUUCCUGCCAGGCUUUAUGCCAGCGGUCAAAAGUCUGGCUUGCGAGAUUAUACCUGAAGUGUAGAGCAGAUUUGCAUGAUUUACUUAUUUGGAUGGCAGGAGGGAGAAAGCAAACAUGUUUUUCAGGACAUCCAUCCCUUCCUUUCUAAGUACACUUGCAGCCAGACUAAUUAUCAGUGUACUUCAAGCGUGUUAAUGAUUAAUUAACUUGAAGUGUGCUAUUUUGAAACAACAAAUUUUGUACUAAGUAUAUUUUAGUAAAUUGUUGUAAAGCAAAACUUUAAGUGUAUUUUGUGUACUUAUGAUGUGGACCCACUAGUAUACUUAGCAUUUAGCCUGUGUAGGGACUAAUUACACGCUUGAUUAGUGAUAUUAAAGUGUACUUUAUUUGUGUUA